AGCGAACGCUGGCGGCAGGCCUAACACAUGCAAGUCGAACGAACCCUUCGGAGUUAGUGGCGGACGGGUGAGUAACACGUAGGAACGUGCCUUUAGGUUCGGAAUAACUCAGGGAAACUUGUGCUAAUACCGAAUGUGCCCUUCGGGGGAAAGAUUUAUCGCCUUUAGAGCGGCCCGCGUCUGAUUAGCUAGUUGGUGAGGUAAAGGCUCACCAAGGCGACGAUCAGUAGCUGGUCUGAGAGGAUGAUCAGCCACAUUGGGACUGAGACACGGCCCAAACUCCUACGGGAGGCAGCAGUGGGGAAUCUUGCGCAAUGGGCGAAAGCCUGACGCAGCCAUGCCGCGUGAAUGAUGAAGGUCUUAGGAUUGUAAAAUUCUUUCACCGGGGACGAUAAUGACGGUACCCGGAGAAGAAGCCCCGGCUAACUUCGUGCCAGCAGCCGCCGUAA
rnacentral:rRNA from 1 species